CAUGAAUUCGUAGAAACGAUACUCAUCAAAAUUCAUGUUGUGCCAAAAACCAGAUUUGAACUGGUGACACGAGGAUUUUCAGUCCUCUACUCUACCAAUUGAGCUAUCCCAGCCUUUUCUGACAAAUUAUCCUUCUUUGAAUAGAUGACUUUGGUUUAUUAAGAAGAAAGAGAUAAAAGGCUCCGUAAGGAGUUGACCUAGACACAAACAAAGAAAUCAAGAUCAAGCCAUCCGGAGGCACGACUGAAAGGAGUCCAAGAUUCAAGUUGAAUCAAUGAAUAAAGUCAUUGAAUAAAGUCAACUCAGAAAUUCUACACUCAAAUAGCUCGGUCGCAUAGGAGGAGUAGAACAAAGGUUCCAAGAAACGUUCGUAUGUCCUUAUCAAUGAGACUGAUCAAUGUUCUUGGCUAGAAAAGAAAGCAUGAACAAACUAGCACAACCUGAAAAAGGAGUGAAGGAAAGAUAUUUCCCGGCCUUCUUUUCCUACUAAUGCAAAUGCCCUUUUCAUCCUUACUUAAAUGUCUUUAUUUCUGAUGAUAGGAAGAGAAUGAAUUCGAGCAUUGAUGUCUCACUUUCAGUUACUGACCUCGUAAUAGUAACUUCAUUCCCUGUCCGACUUAGUUUAGUCUCUCUCCGACUCUGAUUCUUCAUCUCAUGCUACUUCAUGGAAGAACAAAAUAAGGAUGUCUUGGUCAGAGCUAGUCUGCAGACUCAAAGUAGGUAGGACGGUAGGUAAGAGCAGCUAGUCUGCAGAACCUAAUACGGUAGGUAAGAGCCGAUCCAAAGGAAUGUUUCGAAACCUAAAAAAUAAAAGAUAGGAAAACUUCUGCAGCAACUGGGCCUGAUUCCCCCUUUCUCCCCUAGUCAGCAUCUCAUGCUACAGAUUCAAGGGGUUCCGCAACCUAUUCCCCGCCUCGAAACCUCUACUCUAUUCUUUCUUUCUUCUUUCUGCUCGAGCAAUAAAAACCUAUCCUAAUGGCAUCCGCCAUCCGCCUGUGGAAUGAGGAAGUCGCUGGGGAAGCUGAAGUUGGUCCCGUCCCGAUGUUCGCUUUUCUUGCUCUUAUUUAUCAUAUUGUGUACUCUAGGAUAAACUCCCACUCCGCGGCAGAAAGAGGCCGAAGCCAAUAAAGAGGUCGUCCCCACCAUAAGGCAUUAGAUGACGAAAGAGACAUAAGAAAAGCCCACUACGUAGGGGCACCAAUAGAACUCAAAAUAAGAGAGUUAAAGUUAGCGAAUAAGAGAAGAGCGUCAGCGGAAGCUAAAGGUUCACGCUCGACCCUUGCGUUGAGUAUAAAGAAAACGUAGCAAUUUGAGAUCGGGUUCAGGAUUCUUCCUUCGUAGAGGUAGGUUGCAUGAGAUUUUUGCUGCUAUCUCUAUCUCCAAGGUAAGAGGAAAGAAGGCUCAAUGAAAUAUGAGUUUCACUCACAAAAGACAAAAUGGGUUUCCGGUCCCCACUACCAUGAGUGAGUUCUCGCUGCUUGCUUCUAUAGUACGGUCGGGGAGGAAUAGAGGUAGUGCUUAUUAGCAAGGUAAGAUAAAGUAAUCAAGGGCCAUAUCUCCAGCAUCUUUCUCCAAAAAUAGACCGCACUACGCAGAUAAAAAGGAAAAUGUUUUCAGACUACUCCUUCGGAGGCUCAAAGAAUAUUGAGAAGCGACUCUAGGAAGAAGGUGAAUAUUCCAUUUCAUGACUCCUAACGAAGCGGUCCGAAGGACUUGUUUAUAUUCAUAUUAGCUUUCCUUCCUCUCAAAUUCCAAAUCUAAUUCUUUAUUCUUCAAUAUUCUUUUCACCCUUUAUGAACUUCGUUGCACUCCUUUGAAGGAUAAGGACUUUCGCUUUCAAGUCCUAACCUUUGUAUCCUUCCUAACCUCAGUCGAGUUCAAUGAGUCUUGAACCUCUCCUUAUCAUUUUGAGUCGAGUUAUUUCAAAUUUGAAGGGCUUCUUCUAAGUGGCAGAAUAAUGAAUGAGCUUGAAAAGUCGAGUUAUUUCAUUCUCAUACUAAUUUCUAUCUUUGAUUUCGAGCUAUUUCUUCCCUCGAUACACUGGUCUGUGGUAGUUUAAUCUGAAGGUCUGACCUUUUGCCCUCUUCCUAUUCCCGCUAAGCAUGACGCAUCCUAAAUCCCACAUAUUCUUGUCAAUAUAAAGAGUUCACCCUUCAUCCAACUCUCAUUUGCAAGAAAGGAUGUGUCGAGCAAGGUAGUCCAAUCGUGAGAAAAGUCUACAAAUAGUACCAUAAUAUUAAGGAAUGAAUACAUCAUGGUUGAAUAGGUGGGUGCUCAAGCUAUUAGGCUGAAGGCUAUAAGAUAUGCAAGAAGGGGGAGCUUCUAUUAUUGAAUUACUUUUGUGAUUCGUUCUUCAGCAGCCAGCACUACUUCAGCUACAGUUAGAACUGCUACAAGAAGGGCUACAUGGGCAUCAAAAGAGAUCGGUCGCUGCCUUCUGCUUGAGCUACUAAUUUCUAUCUUGCCCAAAUCAAUCCCUUUUCAUUUGGUUGCGCAUAUUUCCCCACCGAACUGAGAAUGAAUUUGACCUUUUCUUCUCCACUCUUGUGGCUUCUCUUGAUCCUUAUUCUCUCUCCGUAUCGAUCGAUAUGAUAACCAUUCUAGGCAAGUGUGCCCUUGCUGGGGAUGAAGAUGCCUCUGGAUCCAUGAAUAGAAAGAGGACAUAUCCUAUUCAAGAAUCCUACCUACUCCGCCUCUUUCUUCUUCUUCUUCUUGCGAUUCUGACUAAUUAAUCAUCCAUCGAUAGGCAAAACCUCUCUUUUCUUUAUCUGUUUCCUUAAGUCAAUCUUUCUCAUAAUACCAGAUAAAGUUCUCCUUCUCAUUUUUUACUACCGGAUACUUUCUAUUUGAGAAUAAUCGCUUCGUGGGUGAAGAGGCCAGGCUACUCUUCCUGUGACUGUAACCUCCACUUAGAGAGAUUCCCCAGCCGCAACCUCCACUUAGAGAGUCCGACUAUCAUCUAUGAAAGUGGAAAAUCAUGAUUUUGGAGGGGACCACAUUCUAAUGCAUGUCUAUCUAUAGCUGAGUAUAGCAAGUCCCUAGGGAGUGAAAUUCAAAUCUGGACUAAACCUCCCAUCAACAAAAAGAUUGCAGCCUAAAAGUUUGGGACAAGCCCUUGAUCUUCCCUCUAACACCUGACUCCCCCCGUUCGCCAUUAGAAAGGCCACUUCCCGACCGCUACGUAGGCUAGAGAUCGAAUGCCCUUUCCUCUUCGCAACCCUUUCGGUCGAGCGAGUGCCUUUCCUUUCUACCGCGCAGUGGGUACAAAUUGUCAGAUUGAUUCUUCUGUAGAGCUAUUUCAUCCAUUCUUUAUUGUGCAUACAUUCUAUGCAUAAUAGAGCAACUUCCUUAACUGCUGAAACCCCAACAUCAACUUGUGAGGGCAACUCAACAGAAACUUCAGAGUUUCUACACUCACUUCUACUUGGAAAAAAGAAGAAAAAUCAGGUGCAUGGUACAUAACCGACUCUCACUCCUGUUAAUCGAGUGAGCGGGCUUCUGCUUCUCAAAUUAUUUGAGCCUUUGUUCAUUGAUGCAUCCUUCUUUAUUAAGAACACCUAGAACACAGUCAAACCCUGAAUUUCAUGAUUCAACACUAAAGUCCAUUGGUCAACAAAGUAGCCUCAUAGGUAUCCUUGACUUCUUCCAUUCGAGCUACGAGAUCAGAGGUCUCUCCCCAUUUCAUGGUAAAAGAGCAAGGGGAUCAAACCAUUCUUGGACUCAACCUAUAUAAAGACCCGCUGCACUAAAGGCACCUAAAGCAGCUCAUCUCAAAGAAGAAAUCGACCUAGUGCCUCAAGCUGGGAAGGAAAAGAUAAAUUUGAACUAGCUUUUCAGGGGAAUUGAAAGAGGAAGAACUCUUCUCUGAAAGGUGCGAAGGACCAAACCAAAUUUAUCGCCUCAAUGAACAAGAGGUCGGCCUAAACCGUGGAGUGGGAUCUUGUUCUUGAAGUUGAUAAGGCUCUACCUUUCAUAUGAGAAUACUUGGUGCGAUAAGCCGAUGCUUCAGACAUCGCUUUUGUUCGAUCAGUAGAAAGAUGUCUUCCCUUUUUUCUACUAGAAUUCCUAACUCGUUUUUGUGAGUGAAAAGACCUUUAUUUGACACCCCGUACCCCUUUUGUCUUUCAUCUUUUAUUAACAAUCAAUAAACAAGGGUGCGAGACUCUACGAAGGGUAGCAAGGAGCAGUGGAUAGAGAUGUGCUUCCAAAAGCUAUUGCGAAAAUGAGUUUAGAUGAAGGAGACCACCUAGUUCUUUCGGCGGAAUCUGUCCCCUGAACGAGAUCGAGUUCAUGCUAUGCCAAGAGUCAGAUCUUGAAAGGGAAGAUCAAAAACCAAACCUCGAGGACUUUUGCUAGGGCUAGUCCUACUCGACCGAAAAGACCAUAUACUUCAUGAAAGGGAAGAUCAAGAACCAUAGUCUUUGAACUCCCAUACAGUCUCGAACCCUUUGGUAUUUUGGGUUAGGAUCCAAGUGCCAGGGAAUACGAAGACGAAUCAGUGAAAGAACAUAACUUGAAGACUAGUAGCAAUAGCUAUCAAGGGACAAGCUCAAAAGAUCUACCAGUGAGGGGCAGGUUUACUAGCUAACUAGUUUGAAUGCUUCCUAUUUGCUAUCUUCCACGCCCUACUUAUACUGCUUGGAAACACGUAUUCUCUUUCUCCUUGUGCAAGCUUUAUUCCUUCCUUCUUCUCAAAUUAUUUGACUUAGAAAACAAAGGCUCAAAGUUCAUUGAAUAAAGUCAACUAAAAAAUUUAAUCGCUUCUCUUCGCAAAUUCUUUAACCCUUGGACUGAUUUAUCCUACCAUAUUCAUUUCCAUGGACUGAUUUAUCCAUAUUCACCUUUGAAUCUUUUGUAGGAAGCGAAGAGGUCGAGUGUAAUGAGAGGGAGUUCGACUUUAAUCUAAAGGAGUCCAUAAGAUUAGAAUGAACAAUGACCUUUUUUCAUGGAGGCCUAAAUCAUCAAAAUCGGGGCGAUUUUGGCCUCAAGGCGAGAUAAAAUUGAGAGAAUUUCUAAAACUCAAACUCGAUCAUUCUUUGAGCAUUUAUAAUUGAAUCAAACUCAUUUUCAUCCCUCAUCAUAAAAAAAAACCUAGGGUUUCCAUCUCUUUAUGAUGAGUUGGAUUGAAUUGAAUAUGCUUCAAAGAAGGCUUGAAUACAAAUACCACCCGUUAGUUAUAUCAAAUGAUCACAAAUAUAUCAAUAGUGAGGGAGUGCAACUACGGGACUUUAGUGGAAUGACCCGUUAGUUAACGAAUGUUGAUUAGCUCGGUCUAAAAAGGUUUAGCCAAUUAAUCUCAAAUUGUUGGAGUCCACGAUCUAUAGGUCCAUUAGGUUCCCCUGCUAGCUCAUACGGAAUUAACUUAGAACAAUAUGUUGGAAUAAUUCGAAUUGUUCGAAUUAGGUAAAAAGAGAGAAACCGAUGAAUAUAUGCGAUAUAGUCGUCGGUUAUAGAGCUUUAUGUUUAAAUGAGAUUUAAAUGUUAAAAAUAUGAAUAUGGAUUCAUAUUCGGAAGCUCGAAAUUGAUGGAAAUAAUCAAAGUUGUGAAAAGUCAAAAUGUUGACUUUUGACUUUGAAAUGUCAAAUUUUGACCGGCAUUAUAUUCAAAUAUGAUUUGAAUUUCAAGAAAAUGAAUGCGGAUUCAUGCUCGGAAGGUCGGAAUUAGUCAAGAUGUACAAAAUGGUAAAAAGUCAAAAUGUUGACUUUUGACUUGACAUUUUGACUUGAAAUGUCAAAGUUUGACUUUGACUAGAAUGGUCAAAUGACCAUUUUGCUCCUUGACCAAAAUUUAGUGAGAAAAUCCAAUAUUUUGUUGGAUAAUUCCACUAACUCUUAGUGGACUAUGUGGAAGCUUAUGGUGAUGACACCAAGCCCACUAAGAGAAAAUGAAAUUGUGAAUCAAUCCACUAAUAGUUAGUGGAUUGUGAGGUGUUGGCCUUUGGUGAUCCAAUUGCAUGUAAAUUUUGCAUGUAAUUAGUCUAUUUAAGGGACAUUUUUCAUGUUGAAGAACAAUUUUUGCCAAUAAUUUUGUAAUUUUGAAUUACAAAAUUAAACCUUAUUCUCUCCAAAUCUCAGACCAAUUUUUACCUCCAAUUUCCAUCUGUUUCUCUAAUUUUUCCACUUAAACGGGUCCCACAACCCGGUUCCAAAUCUAGAGAAUAGCAGGUCAAUUCUAGUGGUGGUCCGGUUCGAGUUCGGGAGAAGAUUUAGAGCUUCGGAAAGCUACAAAGGUUGUGGAAUCCAAGUUCAUCCAAGUCAUUGAGUUUCAAGCUUCUUUAAGUUGAUAAAAGAGCAAUUGUACAAAGCCUAAGAAUGUUAUCUCAUCAAGACACAACAAGCUUCAAUUAUUUAGAUUUAUAUAUUCUGACAAAUUUUGUAACAAUGGAUGGUAGCUGGUUGAUCAUUGUGUUGGGUUGAAUGAUAUUAUUGACUAUCUUUUGUGAGAAUACUUAA